GACGAACGCUGGCGGCGUGCUUAACACAUGCAAGUCGAACGGAAAGGCCCUGCUUUUGUGGGGUGCUCGAGUGGCGAACGGGUGAGUAACACGUGAGUAACCUGCCCUUGACUUUGGGAUAACUUCAGGAAACUGGGGCUAAUACCGGAUAGGAGCUCCUGCUGCAUGGUGGGGGUCGGAAAGUUUCGGCGGUUGGGGAUGGACUCGCGGCUUAUCAGCUUGUUGGUGGGGUAGUGGCUUACCAAGGCUUUGACGGGUAGCCGGCCUGAGAGGGUGACCGGCCACAUUGGGACUGAGAUACGGCCCAGACUCCUACGGGAGGCAGCAGUGGGGAAUAUUGCACAAUGGGCGGAAGCCUGAUGCAGCAACGCCGCGUGCGGGAUGACGGCCUUCGGGUUGUAAACCGCUUUCGCCUGUGACGAAGCGUGAGUGACGGUAAUGGGUAAAGAAGCACCGGCUAACUACGUGCCAGCAGCCGCGGUGAUACGUAGGGUGCGAGCGUUGUCCGGAUUUAUUGGGCGUAAAGGGCUCGUAGGUGGUUGAUCGCGUCGGAAGUGUAAUCUUGGGGCUUAACCCCUGAGCGUGCUUUCGAUACGGGUUGACUUGAGGAAGGUAGGGGAGAAUGGAAUUCCUGGUGGAGCGGUGGAAUGCGCAGAUAUCAGGAGGAACACCAGUGGCGAAGGCGGUUCUCUGGGCCUUUCCUGACGCUGAGGAGCGAAAGCGUGGGGAGCGAACAGGCUUAGAUACCCUGGUAGUCCACGCUGUAAACGGUGGGUACUAGGUGUGGGGUCCAUUCCACGGGUUCCGUGCCGUAGCUAACGCUUUAAGUACCCCGCCUGGGGAGUACGGUCGCAAGGCUAAAACUCAAAGGAAUUGACGGGGCCCCGCACAAGCGGCGGAGCAUGCGGAUUAAUUCGAUGCAACGCGUAGAACCUUACCUGGGUUUGACAUGGAUCGGGAGUGCUCAGAGAUGGGUGUGCCUCUUUUGGGGUCGGUUCACAGGUGGUGCAUGGCUGUCGUCAGCUAGUGUCGUGAGAUGUUGGGUUAAGUCCCGCAACGAGCGCAACCCUUGUUCACUGUUGCCAGCACGUUAUGGUGGGGACUCAGUGGAGACCGCCGGGGUCAACUCGGAGGAAGGUGGGGAUGACGUCAAGUCAUCAUGCCCCUUAUGUCCAGGGCUUCACGCAUGCUACAAUGGCUGGUACAGAGAGUGGCGAGCCUGUGAGGGUGAGCGAAUCUCGGAAAGCCGGUCUCAGUUCGGAUUGGGGUCUGCAACUCGACCUCAUGAAGUCGGAGUCGCUAGUAAUCGCAGAUCAGCAACGCUGCGGUGAAUACGUUCCCGGG
rnacentral:rRNA from 1 species